CUUAUAGUGGGGGAGUAGCCUUUCGAAAGGAAGAUUAAUACCGCAUAAGAUUGUAGUAUCGCAUGAUAUAGCAAUUAAAGAGCAAUUCGCUAUAAGAUGGACCCGCGUCGCAUUAGCUAGUUGGUGAGGUAAUGGCUCACCAAGGCGACGAUGCGUAGCCGACCUGAGAGGGUGAUCGGCCACAUUGGGACUGAGACACGGCCCAGACUCCUACGGGAGGCAGCAUG
rnacentral:rRNA from 1 species